AACGUGUGCUGUUCACACAGCUGGGGGGCAGGGUUUUGAGUGCUGGGGGAAUCUGGCUCACACAUGUAACUUCAAAAGGAUCACUGCAUGAACUCCACCAAUAACUCAGAGGUGAAUAACUGCACUCAGACAUUCCAACACUCUCAAAAAGUGAACGCCCAAAGGAAUGCUGUACUGCACCCACACCAACAUCAUUCCUGUCUGAACCUGUUGGUAAAGGUGAAAAGGCCACAUGGCCUCUACGGCUUCCUCCAACAAGGCCAGGAAGAUUCUGACUCGAGACAGUGAUCAACUGAUUCUGUCAAGUACGUCGAAAGAGUUGGAGCAGUUACCUAUUUCACAACCUGUCAAUAUUAAAUAUUGAACAAGCUGGUGUUCAAACAUGUAAAUGUUGGGUUAUCAUUCUGAAGUUCUGGUACAGAUGUAUUAAUACUGAGAUCGACAACAUGAGAAGCUGAGAAUGGUUUUUCAUUAAAUCUACACUUAUAAUACGGAGAACUUCUUAUUUAAUUCAGCUUUGUAUCAUUCAAAUAGUGCUUUUGUUUGUUAGGCUUUUCAGUUUGUUUCACAUCAAGUCAGACAACAAGCUGAAUGACAUUGUGAAUGAAAUAUUGAAGAGUUCGGGUCUGCUGGCCCCCUAGUGGCUCAAGAAAUUGUAACAGUGUAAUCUCAUAAAAUGCAAUACUCUUUUCAAUUAAUUUACUUUCGAUUCAGUUCUAAAACUAUAACGAGAUUUACUGAGGUCUGAAUAUUGGGUCUGAAUAGAAUGGCUGCAAUUUCAUCAAAAGGACCAGCCAUAUCACAAAGCAUGAGAAUAAAAUUUG